AGCGAACGCUGGCGGCAGGCCUAACACAUGCAAGUCGAACGGACCCUUCGGGGUUAGUGGCGGACGGGUGAGUAACACGUGGGAACGUGCCUUUAGGUUCGGAAUAGCUCCUGGAAACGGGUGGUAAUGCCGAAUGUGCCCUUCGGGGGAAAGAUUUAUCGCCUUUAGAGCGGCCCGCGUCUGAUUAGCUAGUUGGUGAGGUAAUGGCUCACCAAGGCGACGAUCAGUAGCUGGUCUGAGAGGAUGACCAGCCACACUGGGACUGAGACACGGCCCAGACUCCUACGGGAGGCAGCAGUGGGGAAUCUUGCGCAAUGGGUGAAAGCCUGACGCAGCCAUGCCGCGUGAAUGAUGAAGGUCUUCGGAUUGUAAAAUUCUUUCACCGGGGACGAUAAUGACGGUACCCGGAGAAGAAGCCCCGGCUAACUUCGUGCCAGCCGCCGCGGUAA
rnacentral:rRNA from 1 species